rnacentral:rRNA from 1 species
UACGGAGGGGGCUCUCGUUGUUCGGAAUUACUGGGCGUAAAGCGCACGUAGGCGGCCGUUCAAGUCAGAGGUGAAAGCCCGGGGCUCAACCCCGGAAUAGCCUUUGAAACUAGAUGGCUUGAAUCUUGGAGAGGUCAGUGGAAUUCCGAGUGUAGAGGUGAAAUUCGUAGAUAUUCGGAAGAACACCAGUGGCGAAGGCGACUGACUGGACAAGUAUUGACGCUGAGGUGCGAAAGCGUGGGGAGCAAACAGG